rnacentral:piRNA from 1 species
UGACCUGAGAGUGUUGUUCCAUGUGUC